CGGACGUCGGCGGUCGGACAUCUUGUCGAAGUUGUACGUGCACGCAAGCGAGGACAAGAAACGAUCCGUGAGUGCGAGAAACGGCUGUCCAUGUGCGCGAUGGUCUCGUCAUAACCUUCCGCGGCUUCUUUGGCCCCGUCUUUAUUCGGUCAUUAUUCGCGUACGUGCACGCAAGCGAGGACAAGAAACGAUCCGCGAGUGCGAGAAACGGAUAUUCUCUACGAGUGAUUAUCGAGUUCAUCAAAGGAACUCGCCCCGAAUCUGUGAUCGUGUCGCGUUCGCGCUCGGGAUCUGCCUCGCGAACAAGAUUCUCCGUUCGACAGCAACGUACGACAGCACGUACACGCGGUACACGGAUACGUGUGUCGUCCUGAAAUAUUUUGCUGACGCAACGUUUUACCUUUUGUGCAUUUCAUUUUUACAUUUAUAACGAACGAAGAAGAUUGAGUCGACGAUCGGCGUUUCCCCUGUUUAUCUUACACGGACGUACACGGAUGUGUCUCGUGUGUCGUCAUUAUAAGUACAGAAAGUUAAGAAAGACACAAGAUUAAAAUAUCAAAAUGUCGAAAGAGUUUCAGAAAGAGGUUUAUCGAAUGCAGAUCGUGAUUUGCUGACGAUGACAUUAAGCAGUUUGAAAAAGCUUCAUGGACCAGUUGUAUCUAAACUUGAUAGAGAUUUGCUUCGAGAUGUGUCAAGUAAACUUGAUAUAGUACUAAUGAACCAACGCCGCAUUAUAAAUGAAAUAUUUCCUGGUGAAGCUAUCGUUGAGAGACCCGAAAAUUGUCCCCUCCUUCUAUUACGAGAUGAGAAGUCAUUUGAAGCAUUCAAUGAAUUUUUGAAGAGUAAAAUUGCAUUUUCUCAGUUUGUCAGCUAUCUUAAUGAACAUAUUCUUGAUGAUUCUGAUCAGCUUGCAAGACAAAGUUAGCUGGAAAGAAACUAGAGGAGUGAAAAUCUCUUUUUAUGGAACAAGGAUUAAGGAGACUUUGUUUUGUGCCAUAAUGGGCCGUUUUAAAGAUCAAUCGUUGAAGAAUGCUGAAGAAUCCACGAAGCGCUGGUUGAAUACUUCUGGUCAACGUAAAUGAAAGAUUAACGUCAUCUUUCACACAUUUUGUUUCCGGUUUAAUGUUACCGUACAUAUUUCCACAUUUUAUUUUAAAUUUAUUCCUUUUGGUUCUUUAAAGUUAUAUAUGUUUUUUAUAUUUAAAAAAUU